rnacentral:rRNA from 1 species
ACGGGUGAGUAACACGUAGGCAACCUGCCCUCAAGCUUGGGACAACUACCGGAAACGGUAGCUAAUACCGAAUACUUGUUUUCUUCGCCUGAAGAGAACUGGAAAGACGGAGCAAUCUGUCACUUGGGGAUGGGCCUGCGGCGCAUUAGCUAGUUGGUGAGGUAACGGCUCACCAAGGCGACGAUGCGUAGCCGACCUGAGAGGGUGAUCGGCCACACUGGGACUGAGACACGGCCCAGACUCCUACGGGAGGCAGCAGUAGGGAAUCUUCCGCAAUGGGCGAAAGCCUGACGGAGCAAUGCCGCGUGAGUGAUGAAGGUUUUCGGAUCGUAAAGCUCUGUUGCCAGGGAAGAACGCUUGGGAGAGUAACUGCUUUCAAGGUGACGGUACCUGAGAAGAAAGCCCCGGCUAACUACGUGCCAGCAGCCGCGGUAAUACGUAGGGGGCAAGCGUUGUCCGGAAUUAUUGGGCGUAAAGCGCGCGCAGGCGGUCAUGUAAGUCUGGUGUUUAAUCCCGGGGCUCAACCCCGGAUCGCACUGGAAACUGUGUGACUUGAGUGCAGAAGAGGAGAGUGGAAUUCC